CUGCGAACAUAGAAGGAAAUGCUGAGUCUGCACGUGUGAUAGAUCUUCGACCCUGGAUGGAUUAUGAAUUCCAGGUCAUUGCCAGUAACAUUUUGGGUAGUGGAGAACCAAGCAUGCCCUCCCAGUCUGUCCGAACCAAGCAAGCAGCACCCAGUGUGGCUCCCAGCGGACUUGGUGGAGGUGGUGGAAACCGUAAUGAACUUAUCAUUACAUGGACUCCCAUGGCCAGGGAGUAUCAGAAUGGAG